UGAAAUGGCUCAAGGGAAAUGCCUUGCCGUUGUUCUUCUCUCUCUUUUUACCUCCAAAACUUUCAAUUGAAAUCGAAUAAAGUUCUUCUCUUUGGAAAUAAAAAAGAAAAGAGGAUUUCAAAGAAAAACGGGGGACCUGGAG
ensembl:ncRNA C27F2.13 ncRNA